UCCGGCUUAUCACCGGCAGUCCCUCUAGAGUGCCCAACUAAAUGAUGGCAACUAAAGGCGAGGGUUGCGCUCGUUGCGGGACUUAACCCAACAUCUCACGACACGAGCUGACGACAGCCAUGCAGCACCUGUGUGCAGGUCUCUUGCGAGAAGGAAUCCGUCUCCGGAAGCCGUCCUGCCAUGUCAAGGGCUGGUAAGGUUCUGCGCGUUGCUUCGAAUUAAACCACAUGCUCCGCCGCUUGUGCGGACCCCCGUCAAUUCCUUUGAGUUUCAGCCUUGCGGCCGUACUCCCCAGGCGGGGCACUUAAUGCGUUAGCUGCGGCACCCAGGGGGUCAAUACCCCGGACACCUAGUGCCCAUCGUUUACAGCGUGGACUAC
rnacentral:misc_RNA from 1 species